CCCUUAGAUGUUCUGGGCCGCACGCGCGCUACACUGACUGGUGCAACAAGUGUCGCUCCUUGGCCGAUAGGCCUGGGCAAUCUUUGAACGCCAGUCGUGAUGGGGAUAGAUUCUUGCAAUUUUUGAUCUUCAACGAGGAAUUCCUAGUAAACGCGAGUCAUCAACUCGCAUUGAUUACGUCCCUGCCCUUUGUACACACCGCCCGUCGCACCUACCGAUUGAAUGGUCCGGUGAAGCCUCCGGAUUGGCGCGCACCUCGGUGCCGCCGAGAAGUUGGCUAAACCUUACCAUUUAGAGGAAGGUGAANUCGUAACA
rnacentral:rRNA from 1 species